UACGUAGGGGGCAAGCGUUGUCCGGAUUUAUUGGGCGUAAAGAGCGUGUAGGCGGCUAGAUAGGUCCGUUGUGAAAAACUCGAGGCUCAACCUCGAGACGUCGAUGGAAACCAUCUGGCUAGAGUCCGGAAGAGGAGAGUGGAAUUCCUGGUGUAGCGGUGAAAUGCGCAGAUAUCAGGGAAAGAACACCCCGUGGCGAAGGCGGCUCUCUGGUACGUGACUUGACGCUGAGACGCGAAAAA
rnacentral:rRNA from 1 species